rnacentral:rRNA from 1 species
AUGUCUCAGAAAAAACACUCAGCGCCCGAUCCAGAUCCCCAAUCCAGUCUCUGCUCCCACCUCCUCUCCUCAACGCCCCGCCGCAGGGCGUGGAAGCGUUGCGUCCACUCCGGCCACCAUGACAACACCACCUGGGGCCACGCCGCCGCCGCCGACUUCGCGCCCGUGCCCAGGAUGUGCCGCCUCGGGGCCGGGUCACGCCCUACCUCGUCUACCUCGACCACACGCACGCUCCUCGACAACCGCCUCGGCAAGCGCCACUUCGAUGGCGGCUACGUCCACAACGGCCUCCUCCGUGCCGCUGGCUGGGUGCUCGAUAGGGAGUGCGACCUGCUCCAGGACCUCCUCGACCGGUACGUACCCUGCAUACACGCUCACCUUCACGGGCCAGUCCCUCAGCGCCGGUGUCGCCGUCAUGCUCACCAUGGUCGUCGUGCUCAACCUCGACAAGCUCGACAAGGUCGAGAGGGGCCGCACCAGGUGCUACGCCAUGGCCCCCGCCCGUUGUAUGUCGCUCAACCUCGCCGUCAGAUACGCGGAUGUCAUCAACUCCGUCGUGCUGCAGGUGACUCACUGAUGACCCAAUUGAUUUGGUUGCUUGCUUGUCUGAAUUUUGUGGUUACAAGUUCAGUUGUAGAAGAAUUUGGGUUACAUGUAGUAUGUCUGAAUUUGGGUUACAUGUAG